rnacentral:misc_RNA from 1 species
AUGAACUUGGAUCAGGAAGGGCUCGGGGGUGCAAACAUGCUGUUGUCGUUGUGGUUGUCACAUCCCUUGUGAUCGGGCUCCUCGCCAUGGUCGUUAUAUUAGGCUCAAGGAACUAUUUCAGCGUGAUUUUUACCAGCGACAAGGAGAUGCAACGGGCUGUUGCGAAAAUAGCUUACCUUCUUGCUGUGACAAUGGUGCUUAAUAG